rnacentral:rRNA from 1 species
GAUGAACGCUGGCGGUAUGCCUAACACAUGCAAGUCGUACGAGAGUUUUUAACUCUAGUGGCGGACGGGUGAGUAACACGUGAGAAUUUGCCUUUAGGAGGGGGAUAACAAUUGGAAACGAAUGCUAAUACCCCAUAUGCUUUUGAGUGAAACGGAUUUAUCCGCCUAGAGAGAAGCUCGCGGCUGAUUAGCUUGUUGGUAAGGUAAGAGCUUACCAAGGCGACGAUCAGUAUCUGGUUUGAGAGGACGAUCAGACACACUGGAACUGAGACACGGUCCAGACUCCUACGGGAGGCAGCAGUGGGGAAUUUUCCGCAAUGGGCGAAAGCCUGACGGAGCAAUACCGCGUGAGGGAAGACUGCCUAUGGGUUGUAAACCUCUUUUCAGGGAGGAAUAAAUGACGUGUACCUGAAGAAUAAGCAUCGGCUAACUCCGUG